UUUUUUACCUAUCUUCAGGGAACAACUCUGCCUCAGAGUCUGUGGACCCCACUUCCGUGAACCCCAGCUCUGUGGAAGAAAAGAAUUUCUGUUUAGGUGGCAGCCCUGUGCAUCCUGCGGCAAGAAGUGGAGGAGCACAUGGGUGUCUGAGGAUGCUGUACAGUAGUGGUG